CAGUCGCCGCGGGAAUACAGAGGGUGCGAGCGUUAAUCGGAUUUACUGGGCGUAAAGCGUGCGUAGGCGGCUUCUUAAGUCGGAUGUGAAAUCCCUGAGCUUAACUUAGGAAUUGCAUUCGAUACUGGGAAGCUAGAGUAUGGGAGAGGAUGGUAGAAUUCCAGGUGUAGCGGUGAAAUGCGUAGAGAUCUGGAGGAAUACCGAUGGCGAAGGCAGCCAUCUGGCCUAAUACUGACGCUGAUGUACGAAAGCAUGGGGAGCAAACAGGAUUAGAUACCCCUGUAGUCCCUGUCUCUUAUAC
rnacentral:rRNA from 1 species